UCUUUCUCUUUCUCUUUAUACCCAGACCAGAUCUAAAACCAGAUGAAGAAACUCAUCAAUACUCACCAACUGAAGCUGCGUUUGGAAGCACAGAUUUUCAACACUCUCCUAGCUGUGAUAAAUUGAGGAUAAUGAAGGAUUUCAAAGUAACGGUGCGCAAUAAAAGAUACAUUGAGGGGUGCAUUUCCAUAGGGUAUACCAUGCGAGAAGAUAGCUUAUAUUGCAUGGAGGAGGUGUCAAAAGAUGGUGAAGGUACUCAUAAACAUACUAGACCUGCCUGGUUAGAUGAUGAUGAUGAGUUUGUUGAUGAGAUUCCGUUAAGUAAAUCAAAGGAUAUUAAUUUAACCACAAUACAGUUUGGACAAGCUCGCAACUGGAUUCUAUCGAAACAUGUUGAUAUAGAAGACUGGAAAAGGAAGUAUGAUGCAUAUGCUAACAGCCGCAAGUCUCGUGGUCAGAAAAAUCGUUCCUCCCAUCCCCCCUCAAAGAGUUUUGUAUUAUGGUUAUGGGACGAGGGUCCUCUCUUCAAAGCACGGUCUUAUAAGAAGUACUAAGAUAAUGGCUUUGUUUUCCGCUCACAAGAUUACGAUGAUCGAAUGGUAACAAAAAACAGCGGUGUGUCGAUGAGAGCAAUUACGAGGCAUAGAGCGAAGUCCACUGACAGAAAUUUCAUCGAAGCAGAAGUAGUCUAUUAUGAAGUCAUUAAGAAUAUUAUCAAUUUAAACUACAUGGAAUUUGACGAAGUAGUAUUUUAUUGUGACUGGGUCAGAGUUGAAGAUAAUACAAAUGGGUGCAUGGUUGAUCCAAACUCAUACUUGAUAAAGGUUAACUUGUCUAAGCUGAAAAGUAUUGAUAGAGUGCAAGAUGAACCCUUUAUCCUUGCUUCUGAGGCAACCCAAGUGUUCUACUCAACAGAUCUUUCUGUUGAGGGAUGGAAUGUGGUCUUACAUACUCCGCAACGAUUAACUUUAUGAGUAGAUGAUAUUUAAAUUCCCACGAGUUAUUGAGAAUGAGAGUUUAGAAAAACUUAUAUGUGUCGAUUCGGUAGUUUAAAAUGAUAUGACUCUCACCGUGUCUAUUUAGCAGUUUUAUCACUGGAACAAUCUAAAUACGUUGUUUUUAUUUAAGAAGUAACAUUAUUAUGUGUGUGCAUCGUGACAAGGUUAUUAUAGAUUUUAUGAGAAUCACAAAAUUACUUGUAGUUUGCAGGUUAUUAUGGCAGCAGAAGUGGAGGUAAAUGAAAAUGGACUUCCUGUUUCCCGUAAUGCAACAAAACUUGGCCACCGGAAGGGCGCCUUGGGAGUAUAUAAUUUACCUGAGACUUCUAAGAAAAAUAUGGUAAAUUCGAUGGUUGAACCAUGGAGGAGGUUUAAGCAUGAGCUACGAGUAGACCAUUAUGAUAUACAUGCUACUCACGAAGAAAGGAUUAGCCACACUCCUCCAAAUGUAAAACAAUAAGACUGGAUAGUAUUUUGUGAGAAUGAAAACAAUGAAAAGGCAACUCAAAGUAGAGUUGCACAUCAGAAGAAAAGAAAACUGUAUGACUACUCUCAUACCUCGGGUCGCAAGCCUCAUUGCUUGGUUAAACCUGAAAUGGAGAGCGAGAAUCCUGGUGUAGAAGUCAGUUCCUCUGAUGUGUGGGUAAAAGCUCAUACACAAGAGGGUGGUGUAAUUUUACCUAGUGCGCAGCCAUACUUCUACAGGCUGAGCUUCAGAAGAAGCAACAAGAGAUCAAAGAGUUGCAAGAUGCGGGUUCUACCAGAAGGUAUAGAUGCAUUGACUCAAGCAUUUGGAAUGGAUUCUAGGGGAUGGGUUCGUGUUGUUGGUCCUGUUUCGCAUACACAGGUUGAGAAUUGUGCUCCUGCGCGUGCUAAAGUACAUGAACUGAAGUCCAAGGAUGUACUUCUUAAGCAUAGGGUGGAUGAAAUAGACAGUGGGGUGGAGGUUCUGAUAGACGGAAUUGGAACAUUACGUCAUGCUGUGAAGGAUAUUCAAGCUGCAAUUCCAUAAUCUUUUGUUGCGUCGAACAGUUCACAUGUCCAGGGGUGUUCAUCUGGUCAUGGAGGUGGUUCACCUGAUCACAGUGGUGCUAACUUAAGUUCACAUGCCGACAACAUAUCUCCAGCUCGAUCAGCAACAACUUCUGGUUUGCCCAUGUGUUCAUUGCUUAACAUCGAGGGUAAUGUCAUCGCAACUGGGAAACUUUGUACUGGUGAUCUAGGAAAAAUGAAUCACGGAUCGCCUGUACCAUCUAAUCUUGUAAAGGUGUUGAUUGAUCGCAUUCUCAUUCUAAAUGAAUUGACCAUAAAAUCUAACCAGUUUGUUACGUCCUUUCAAGAUGUUGGAAUUGGAGGAUUUGUGGUUCACCCAAUGAUGUGCGUCAAAUUUGAUUAGAAGGGUGGAUGUAUUUUUUUGGAGAUAUGUUAUGCUUCAUGGAUGUCUCAGCCAUCGUCUAUAACAAACAAAAACGACUAACAUAAAUGACUUUUAUCUUUUUUUGCUUAUGUUUUAGUUUUUGUACUUAAGCUGAAUAUGCUGAUAGUAAACUCUUAUGCAGCUCUGCAUAUGAAACACUCUUAUCUUAUGCUAGUUGUUGUGCUUAUAGGAGACUCUUAUGCAGUUGUGCAUAAGUAUUUAACU